rnacentral:rRNA from 1 species
CCUACGGGUGGCAGCAGUGAGGAAUAUUGGUCAAUGGGCGAGAGCCUGAACCAGCCAAGUCGCGUGAAGGAUGACGGAUCUAUGGUUUGUAAACUUCUUUUAUAUGGGAAUAAAGUGAGGAACGUGUUCCUUUUUGUAUGUACCAUAUGAAUAAGCAUCGGCUAACUCCGUGCCAGCAGCCGCGGUAAUACGGAGGAUCCGAGCGUUAUCCGGAUUUAUUGGGUUUAAAGGGUGCGUAGUUGGUUUAUUAAGUCAGCGGUGAAAGUUUGUGGCUCAACCAUAAAAUUGCAGUUGAUACUGGUAGACUUGAGUAUAUUUGAGGUAGGCGGAAUGCGUGGUGUAGCGGUGAAAUGCAUAGAUAUCACGCAGAACUCCGAUUGCGAAGGCAGCUUACUAAACUAUAACUGACACUGAAGCUCGAAAGCGUGGGGAUCAAACAGGAUUAGAUACCCCUGUAGUC